rnacentral:sRNA from 1 species
UCACUACUGUAAAGAGGACCUGCUACA